AAAAGCUAGUUCAUGCAUUACAAUAGUCCAGUCUAGAGGUCAUGAAUGCAUGAACUAGCUAUUCUGCAUCAGAGACAGGUAACGUUUCGUAGCUUGGCAAUGUUUCUAAGAUGGAAGAAUGCUGUUUUU